rnacentral:rRNA from 1 species
GUCACGCCCGAAGUCGUUACCUUAACCGUUUACGGAGAGGGAUGCCGAAGGUGGGACUAGUGACUGGGGUGAAGUCGUAACAAGGUAGCCGUACCGGAAGGUGUGGCUGGAUCACCUCCUU